GGGGAUGUAGCUCAACUGGUUAGAGCACCGGCCUGUCACGCCGGAGGUUGCGGGUUCGAAUCCCGUCAUCCUCG
rnacentral:tRNA from 1 species